GUCUGGCUAAUGGUUUGUCAAUUUUAUUUAUCCUUUCAAAGAACCAGCUUUUGGCUUUGUUGAUUUUUGCUAUGGUCUCUUUUGUUUCUUUUGCAUUUAUUUCUGCCCUAAUUUUUAAGAUUUCUUUCCUUCUACUAACUCUGGGGUUCUCCAUUUCUUCCUUUUCUAGUUGCUUUAGUUGUAGAGUUAGGUUAUUUAUUUGACUUUUUUCUUGUUUCUUGAGGUAUGCCUGUAUUGCUAUGAACUUUCCUCUUAGCACUGCUUUUAUAGUGUCCCACAGGUUUUGGGUUGUUGUGUUUUCAUUUUCAUUCGUUUCUAUGCAUAUUUUGAUUUCUUUUUUGAUUUCUUCUGU
ensembl:lncRNA